CCUACGGGGCGCAGCAGUGAGGAAUAUUGGUCAAUGGGCGGAAGCCUGAACCAGCCAAGUCGCGUGAGGGAUUAAGGCCCUAUGGGUCGUAAACCUCUUUUGUCAGGGAGCAAUGGCGUCCACGUGUGGGCGUAUGGAGAGUACCUGAAGAAAAAGCAUCGGCUAACUCCGUGCCAGCAGCCGCGGUAAUACGGAGGAUGCGAGCGUUAUCCGGAUUUAUUGGGUUUAAAGGGUGCGUAGGCGGGACCUUAAGUCAGCGGUAAAAUUGCGGUGCUCAACGCCGUAGAGCCGUUGAAACUGGGGUU
rnacentral:rRNA from 1 species